UUGUUUUCUUAUAUACCAGAAGAGGACCCACACCUCUCUAAGUUUGUUAUACAAAUGAGAAAAAUCUGAACUGAACAAAACCAAAGGAGGGAAACUAACGACUUAUCUUCAACUGAAAUACGCACACUAUAUUCUCACACUCUCCUCAAUAAUCUUAUCCUUCAGCAAAUAAGCGUUCAUUCACAGAGACAUUUGAAAGAAAUGGCAGAAUCUCCCAAUACAGCAAUCUGCUUAGUCACUGAUGCCCAAGUUUCAGCUUUACCUGAGAAAAGUAUUGGGACCAAAGGUUUGCUUAAAACUAUUCUUCAAAAGGGAAAUUCAUGGCAAACUCCAAUUCCUGGCGAUGAAGUUGAAGUUCAUUACAGUGUUAGGCUUCAAGAUGGAGAAUAUUUUGAUUCAAGUCGCAAUAAGGGAACUCCUUUUGUUUUCAAAUUAGGCCAAUGUGAAGUUAUCAAAGGAUGUGACGAGGGAAUAUCCACUAUGAGAAAGGGUGAAAGAGCAGUUUUCACAAUACCACCAGAUUUAGCUUAUGGGGAAGCUGGUUCUCCACCUAUGGUUCCUCCAAAUUCCACACUCAUUUUCGAUGUAGAGUUGAUUUCGUGGAACCCCAUCAGAGAUAUCACAGGUGAUGGAGGAAUAUUGAAGAAAAUAACACGGGAAGGGGAUGGAUGGGCUACUCCUAACGAUGCAGAUGAAGUUCUAGUCAAGUAUGAAGCAAGGUGUGAGAAGGGAACAGUAAUCUCUAAAUCUGAUGGACUGGAAUUUUCGUUGAAUAAUGGAUAUCUGUGUUCUGCCAUGAGCAAAGCUGUCAAAACCAUGAGAAAGGGUGAAAAAGCAGAGCUUUCUGUCAAAUUCUCUUAUGGGCUUAGGCAUUCCGAAGAUGGGAUUUCUACGAUUGAUGGGGUUCCACCUUAUUCUAAUUUGAUCAUUAAUCUUGAAUUGAUAUCAUGGAGAAGUGUUAUAGAUGUCAUGGGAGAUGAGAAAAUCCUAAAGAAAGUAAUGAAAUUGGGUAAAGGAUUUGACCGGCCAAGUGAAGGAUCCCUUGCAAAAGUGAUCUAUGUUGGCAAACUCGAAGAUGGCACUGUUAUUUCAAGAAAAGGAUCCGAAGAAGAACCUUUUGAAUACACAUGUUCAGAAGGAAAAAUCGAGGAGGGUUUAGAUAAAGCAGUAAUGACUAUGAAAAAGGGAGAAGAGGCUAUAGUUAAAAUCAGCUCUGAUUUCUAUUAUGGCUGUGAAGUUGGAAGAAAUUCUUCAGAUUCAGUACUUUAUGAAAUCAAAUUAGUGGAUUUCACCAAGGACAAACCAUUUUGGAAAAUGGAGAUCCAAGAAAGAAUGGAGGCUUGUGAGAGAAAGAAGCAUGAGGGAAAUAUACUGUUCAAAGCUGAGAAAUUUCAGCUUGCCUCUAAGAAGUAUGACAAGGCUUCAGAAUACAUAGAAUAUAACCACUCUUUCAGUGCUGAAGAAAAACUCCAGGCAAAUUCUUUGAGAAUAUCAUGUUAUUUGAACAAUGCAGCCUGUAAACUGAAACUGGAAGAAUAUCUCGAGGUCUCUAGACUGUGCACCAAGUUAGGUCCUAGAACUGGAUUCAUUCAAUGUUAAAGCUCUCUUCAGAAGAUCUCAAGCCUAUAUGAGUACAUCUGAUUUAGAGAAAGCUGAGGAUGAUUUGAAGCGUGCUUUAGCCGUUGAUCCAAAAAACAAAGAUUUGAAACUCAAACACAAGGAUCUGAAAGAGAAACAGAGACAAUAUUUUCAAGAAGAAGCUAAGAUUUUCAGUACAAUGAUUUCAAGGACAAGGUAGGUGUUCUUUCCAGAUAGACAAAAGCUGGCUAUCAACAACUCAAUCAGUGUGCAAUACAGCAAACAGGCAUUCAACAUACAAGAAACUUGUGCAUCAGAACCUGGAACACCACCACUUGAAAUAUAUCAGUGUGUUCAAGUGAUCAUAAUAGUAAAUAGCAAUUUUAGUUGCAACGUUCCAUACCGUAGAUACCAAAACUCGGUCCAGUUAAUCCAUAUUCUAAUGAUUUAGAAGUUCAAAUUGUAUGAAAUCCUAGACAGUUGAAAAAUAUGACAGUGCAGAAUAAUCAUAUCUAUUUUCUGCUGAA